rnacentral:lncRNA from 1 species
AAAUUGCUCUACUUUUAUAAUGAGUGACUGAAAGAGUGGGAAGAUUCAAAUUAUGAUGCUUCAAGUUGCCUCGCUCUGAAAUAAAACCCAUCCUGGAGACUGGACAAGCAAAUCUAUCCCCAGUCCACAAUGGGCUAAGGCAGUCAUGCCAAUACUUAGUGAAAACAGAGCAUAGGUGCCAUAUCCUACAUUAUGCUUUUGAUCUAAGACAAAUAUCUAGUCAUAAUGUUAACCCAUUAAUGACAGGAGGCGUGUUUUUCAUCAUACAUGAUGCAGGAGCUCUUGUCUGAGGACAGGCGUCAUUUCAUUUGGGGAAUUUGUUAUUUUAUUGUGCUAUGAGUGAUGAUGACAAUUGCAGUCAUAAUUAUUAUAACUGCCAUAAUAUUAAUUAAAAUGGGUUCCAAAACCUAGAUGGCACCACUUUCUUCUAGCACUAGCAGGAGAGAGUCUUGAAUAGCACUCACCUACGGUCUCUAGCAAGCACUAUCUUUAUAGAGCGAUGGCACAUAGCAAGUCAAUGACCUCUUGCUCUAAAGUACCGCAGAUGAAGAAUGUGCAAGCAAAAUGAGAGGAGCAAGGUGACUCAGACUAUGCCCAAUGUCUACAAUGUGCCCCUGUGCCAGAAAGGAUGCCUUUUACUGUGGUACUCACAGUCAUAA